GAUGAACGCUGGCGGCGUGCCUAAUACAUGCAAGUCGAGCGAACAGAUGAGGAGCUUGCUCCUCUGACGUUAGCGGCGGACGGGUGAGUAACACGUGGAUAGCCUACCUAUAAGACUGGGAUAACUACGGGAAACCGGAGCUAAUACCGGAUAAUAUAUUGAACCGCAUGGUUCAAUAGUGAAAGACGGUUUUGCUGUCACUUAUAGAUGGAUCCGCGCCGCAUUAGCUAGUUGGUAAGGUAACGGCUUACCAAGGCAACGAUGCGUAGCCGACCUGAGAGGGUGAUCGGCCACACUGGAACUGAGACACGGUCCAGACUCCUACGGGAGGCAGCAGUAGGGAAUCUUCCGCAAUGGGCGAAAGCCUGACGGAGCAACGCCGCGUGAGUGAUGAAGGUCUUCGGAUCGUAAAACUCUGUUAUUAGGGAAGAACAAAUGUGUAAGUAACUAUGCACGUCUUGACGGUACCUAAUCAGAAAGCCACGGCUAACUACGUG
rnacentral:rRNA from 1 species